rnacentral:rRNA from 1 species
UACAGAGGGGGCAAGCGUUGUUCGGAAUUACUGGGCGUAAAGGGCGCGUAGGCGGCCUGUUAAGUCGAACGUGAAAUCCCCGGGCUCAACCCGGGAACUGCGUCCGAUACUGGCAGGCUUGAAUUCGGGAGAGGGAUGCGGAAUUCCAGGUGUAGCGGUGAAAUGCGUAGAUAUCUGGAGGAACACCGGUGGCGAAGGCGGCAUCCUGGACCGAGAUUGACGCUGAGGCGCGAAAGCGUGGGGAGCAAACAGG